GCACCGUCACCAGAUAGGUUCACUAAUAAGUUCUGUCAAACAUUUAAGGCAGAAAUUAUGCCAAUUCUCUGAAAUAUCUUUUAGAGGAUAGAAGCAGAGGGACUACUUCUUAACUCAUUCUAUGAGGCCAGCAUUACCCUAAUACCAAAAAAACAAAAAAACGAAAAAACCCACCAAACAUUACCCCCUAUGAACAUAGAUGCAGAAAUACUCAGCAGAGCAUCAAUUUGAAUCCAAAAGUGUAUCUUUAAAAAUUAUAUAUGCCAACUAAGUGGAUUUAGCUCUAGUGUGCAAGCAAGGCUGGUUCAACGUGAAAAAAUCAAUUAAAAUAAUCCAUCACAUCAUCAGGUUAAAAGCAUAAUUACAUAAUCCUAGCAGUGAUGUAGAAAAUGCAUUUGACAAAUCUAACACUUAUAACAAAAACUCUCAGAAAACUAGAAAUAGAAGGAAACAGCCUCACCUUGAUAAAGAAUAUCUACAAAAAACCUAGAGCUAAUAUCAUAUGUGAUGGUGAGAAACAAAGUUUUCCCAUUGAAAUCAAGCAUAAGGCAAGGAUGUCCUCUCACCACUCCUUUUCACCUGAUGUUUUAGCUGAUGUAAUAAGACAAGAAAGGGAAAUAAAGUGUGUAUGGAUCAGGAAGGAAUAAAAAACUGUCUUUAUUUGCAAAUGAUGUGACCAUCUACAUAGAAAAUCUGACAAGACUGAGAAAAAAUACCCUGAUGGAACUAACAGGCGGUUAUAAUAAGGUUGCAGGAAACAGUUGAGACAAGGGCAAUAAAUGAAGUAUUCUCAGGUCUCUAGUCCCUGUCUUCAAUUAGAAAAACACAUUAUCCGUUUUAGGUAGGGGUAGUUACAAAGUUUCCCUUGAACAAAAUUAUACCUGGUCUUAAAAAAGGAAAAAAAUUGAAACCCACUUUAGAACAGCUUCCUCUGAAAUGUGAAGAAACUGAGGCAAAGAAAGGCAAGUGGCCACAUGGGGCCAUUCUGAGAGUUUGCCCCAGAGUCACAAUUGGAACCCUGCUCUCCCAACUGCCAGGCCAAGGUGUUUAGAUACAGACCUAAAAAGAUUUAAAAAAAAAAAUCCAGACCUUACUACCCACCCUCACCUGCUAGGGAGAAAAUGCUUAAACAGUAUUUGAAUUUAUCUGGUGGAGGCCCAGAAAUAAAAAGAAGAAAAGGAGGAUAGCAGUUAAUUGAUUUACCCCAACACCCAACUCUACUUGAGUCUUCACAAAACCUUCUUUUUCCUAAGACCUGAUAUGCACAGGGUUCCUGAAGGGCAGGACCCUUGUCUAUUUCUGUGUCAUUAUCUCUUUCCCCUAGCAAUUCUGGAUACUCUUUUGGAGCAUUGGGGUCUGGUUUCUAAAGCAUUACUGUAUCUCUAUUCCCUUGUUCUAUACCCUCCAUCCUAUUGUUUCAGUUUCUUCCUAUCUCCUGAGCUUGGUAAAAUGUAGUUCACACUCCCCACCAGCCAUAUUAAUUUCCUAAAGACUUCAGGAAUGAUAUUAUGAUUCCUGCUUAUCACUUCCCAACCUCCUACAAUCUAGUCCAGAUCACAAGAAGAUUGUUGAUUGCUCUAUAAUGCAAAUGUCCUUGUGUUUAAAGUUGUUCCAGAAUUCUCUUAGACUGUCCUCAAUUCUUUUCAUUCUUUUUUCUUUAUUCUGUUCCAUGUCAGUGAUUUCCACCAGUCCUUCUUCCACCUCGCUUUUUUUGUUGUUCUGCCUUCUGUAUUAUGCUAUUGGUUCCUUCUGGUGAAUUUUUAAUUUUGGUUAUUGUGUUCUUCAUCUUCUCUGCCUUUUAAAGGGCAGAACGAAGUGCCAAUUUCCUGUUCAUACUAUUCAGUUGUCAAAAAGUUUAGUAAAAUCUAACUUAUGUUCCUGAAACUGUUCCUGCAUGCUUUGUAAUCUCAUUAAGUAUAAAACAAGGAGGUGGCCUUACCUUUUUAUGUACUGCCUAUAGAUAAGGAGGCUGUUCUUGGGCCCAGCCCUAUCUUUCCUGCCUCAAUAUGAAUUGAUUAAAAAAAAGUUAAUUUUUUUUAAUUGUCUGAUUUGGUUUACAGAAUAUUGAGGAGACAGUUGUAUGCCACCCAGUUAAAUAUUUCUAUAUAUUAAAAUAUAUGGUAUCAAAAAAAAUCUUCUCUGCCUUUUUUAAAGGUUUUUUCUAAUUUGUUGAUAUUUGCUUCUAGUUUGUUGCCAAGAUCUUGGAUCAUCCUUACGAGCAUUACUCUGAAGUCUUUUUCAGGUAGGUUUCUUAUCUCCACUUCACUUAGCUAUUCUUCUUGAGUUUUGUCUUUUUCCUUCAUCUUGCUCAUCUUUCUCUGACUUUUCAUUUUGUAUAGCUUUUUGUGUGGUCUCAUUUUUUGCAGGCUGUAAGGGUUGUAGCCUCUCUUCUUCUAAUGUCUGUCUGCUUGUGAGUGAAGUUAACACAGGGGCUUGUGGUGGGCUUCCUGAUGGAAGGGACUGGUGCCUGCCCACUGGUAGGUGGAGCUGAGUCUUGUCCCUCUGGUGGGUGGGGCUUUGUUUCUGGGUGUGAUUUGAGGCAGCUGUGUACCUGGGAGGACCUUAGGCAGCCUGUUUGCUGAUAUGUGGAGCUUUGUUCCCACCCUGUUUGUUGCUUUGCCUGGGGCUUCUCAACCCUAAUGGGUGGGGCCAGAUUUUUCCAAAACGGCAACCUCCAGGGGAGCUCACAUUGAUGAUUAUUCCUGGGACCUCUGUGUCCAUUGUCCUGUCCCCUCAGUGAGCCACAGCCACCCCCUGCUCUCCCUGGAGACCCUCUAAGACCCACAGGUAGGCCUGAUCCAGAUUCUUAUGGAGUCCCCGCUUUGCCCUGGAACCCAGUGCACGAGAAACCCUUUGUGUGCCCUCCAGUGGUGGAAUCUGUUCCCUCCAGUCCUGUGGAGCUCCUGUGCUCAAGCCUCACUGGCUUUCAACGCCAAAUGCUUCAGGGGCUCCUCCUCCCAGUGCCAGACCCCCAGGCGUGGGAACCUGAUGUGGAGCCCCAAACUCUCACUCAUGUGGGAGAGCCUCUGCCAUAUAGUUAUUUUCCAGUCUGUGGGUCACCCACCCAAUGGUUAUGGGAUUGCUUAUAUCAUGAAAGCACCCCUCCUACCUUCUUGAUGUGACAACUUUGUCUUUGGGUAAAGGAUAUCUUUUUUUGGUAGCUUCCAGUGUGUUUUGGCUAUUCAAAAGUUAGUUGUAAUUUUGGCUUUUUUUGUGAGAGGAGGUGAGCCCGAGUCGUUCUAUGCCAUAGUCUUGUCUCUGUCAAGUAAGUGGUGCUGGGAAAACUGGACAGCGGUACCCUGUGCCCUCCUUCCUUCCUGGCCCAGACAGACACACUUUGGCCUGGAGUUAAAUUUUCUAAAGUCCUUGAAUUUUCCAGAAGGGGUAAAACUUAUAUUACAUUUAAUAUAGCGGUACUUUUAUUAUUUAUUCUCUAGAGUAACAAUUAGAAGAUUAGAAAAAUAAUGUAUAACUAACCGGCUGAAAGAUGAGCUAAUGGAUUUUUAAAAAAUACUUCAUUAAUCUAAAAGAUGGCAAGAAUGGAAAGAAAAAUAACAUGAAACAGGUGAAACAAUGGAAAACGUGUAGUAGGGUGAUAAGCCUAAAGUUGGAGUUCCUGUUGUGGCUCAGCAGGUUAAGGUUCUGACAUUAUCUCUGUGAGGAUGCAGGUUUGAUCCUUGGCUUCACUCAGUAGGUUAAGGAUCUGGCAUUGCCACAAAGCUGUGGCAUAGGUCACAGAUGCGGCUCGGAUCUGGUGUUGUGGGUAGACUGCAGCAGCUCCGAUUUAAUCUCUAGCCUGGGAACUUCUAUAUGCUGUGGGUGCGGCCAUAAAAAAAACCAUGUCAAUCACUACCUAAAAUGUACCCAAAAUUAGUGUAAUUAAAAGACAGAAUUAUCAGAACGGAUUUUUAAAACUAUACACUGCUUACAAGGAAAGCCUCUUAUUAAAUAUAACAACAUAGAAAUAUUGAAAAUUUCCUUUCCAGCUCUUUCAAGUUGAAAGUAGAUGUGGCUUGCAAACACUAAAAUAGAAAAGAAAAGCUGCUCUAACUGUACUAAUAAAAAACAAAGCAAACUUUAAAGAUAAUAGUAUUACUAGAGAUUAAAAAAGACAUUAUAUAAUGCUAAAAGAUCAAUUCAUUGGGAAGUUUUAAUAAUCCUAAACCAUAUAUACACAUAUGGUUUGUCUCAAGUCAUAAUAAUGUGACUUCAAAAUGUAUAAAACAAAAAAUUGACAAAGCUGAACAAAUAGAAACAUCCGCAGUCACGGUGGGACAAUUAAAUACAUCUCUGUUUUUAGGGGUGCCUGAUAGAACAGGCAGACAAAAAUAUCUGUACCUUUAUUGGACACCUCUUGUACCCUGUCUUCCAUCUCUUGGCCCAUAUUUUUAUUGCAGUUAUUGCCAUAUCAGUCAGCUCUACACAGGUGUAACUUGACAACUCCUUGUCACAACUGCAUCAUGCAUGUCUUUGUUUCUUCCCUGGAGUUUCACUGCUACCUAUACAUGGAACCCUUACAAGAAUUUGCUCAAUCAUUUUGUUACAUGCCAAGUGAAUUAAUGCCACUCAGGGCAGCCCUCAACCAAUAAAGACAGGAGCCAGUCGAUAAUUAUUCUCCUGUAUCUCAAGUGCACAAUUCUUUUUCAAAAAUUUUUUUUAUUAUAGUUGGUUUACAAUGUUGUGUCAAUUUCUGCUGUACAGCAAAGUGACCCAGUCUCUCUCUCUCACACACACCACCCCCCGACACACCCACAUACACCCACACCCUUUCUUAUUUUAUCUUCCAUCAUGGUUUAUCUCAAGAGACAGGAUAUAGUUCCCUGUGCUAUACAGUAGGACUUCAUUGCUUAUCAAUUCUAAAUAUGAUAGUUUGCAUAUAUUAACCCCAAACUCCCAGUCCAUCCCCGACCCCCCCCCCCGCAACCACAGUUCUGUUCUCUAUGUCUGUGAGUCUGUUUCUGUUUUGUAGGUCAGUUAAUUUGUGCCAUACUUUAGAUUCCACAUAUAAGUGACAUCACAUGGUAUUUGUCUUUCUCUUUCUGACUUACUUCACUUAGUAUGAGAAUUUCUAGUUGCAUUCAUGUUGCUGCAAAUGGCAUUAUUUUAUUAUUUUUUAUGGAUGAUUAGUAUUCCAUUGUGUAUAUGUACCACAUCUUCUUAAUCCAUUCAUCUGUUGAUGGACGUUUAGGUUGUUUCCAUGUCUGACUAUUGUGAAGUACUGUUCUGAACCUGCAGGUGCAUGUAUCUUUUUGAAUUACAGUUUUGUCUGGAUAUAUAUACCAAGGCAUGGGAUUGCUGGAUUAAAUGGUAUUUCUAUAUUUAGUUUUCUGAGGAACCUCCAUACUGUUCUUCAUGGUGGUUGUACCAAUUAACAUUCCCAUCAAUAGUGUAGGAUGAUUCCCUUUUCUCCACACCCUCUCCAGCAUUUGUUAUUUGUAGACUUAUUAAUGAUGGCCAUUCUGACCAGUUGUGCGGUUGUUCCUCAUUAUAGUUUUGAUUUGCAUUUCUGUAAUAAUUAAUGAUGGCCAUUCUGACCAGUGUGCGGUUGUUCCUCAUUAUAGUUUUGAUUUGCAUUUCUGUAAUAAUUAAUGAUGUUGAGCAUUUUUUUCUUUUUCUCUUCUUUUCUUUCCUUUCUUUUUUUUUUUUUUUUUUUUUUUUUUUUUUUUUUUUUUUUUNCAGCAAUGCUGGAUUCCCUGACCCACUGAGCAAGGCCAGGGAUUGAACCUGCAUCUUCAUGGAUGCUAGUUGGAUUCAUUUCUGCUGUGCAACAACAGGAACUCCAAUGUUGAGCAUUUUUUCAUGUGCCUACUGGCCAGCCAUGUGUCUUUGGAGAAAUGUUUAUUUAAGUCUUCUGUCCAUUUUUUUUUUUACUGGAUUGUUUGUUUGUUUAUUGUUGAGUUGUAUGAGUUGUUUGUAUAUUUUGGAGGUUAAACCCUUGUUGGUUGCAUCCUUUGCAACUAUUUUCUCCCAUUCCAUAGGUUUUUUUUUUUUUUAUGGUUUCCUUUGCUGUGCAAAACUUGUAAGUUUGAUUAGGUGCCAUUUGUUUAUUUGUGUUUUUAUUUCUAUUUUAAGUGCACAGUUCUAAGAUAUAUCUUAAACAGAUUACUAGAGGGUUUCCAGUGAAACUGAGCAGCCUGUGCUCAUAGAAGUGGAUAGUUGAAUAAUAUUCCAUUGCAUUGUCAUUUAUUCUUUCUUUCCCUUUUCAUUUCUCCCAGCUCCCAAUUCCUGUUCUUCGGAAUUACUUUCCAAAAUAAACUAUCUGCACACAAACUCUGUUUCAGACUCUGCUUUUGAGACUAAUACACUAAGAAUAUAGAAUACUUGUACAAUAUAACCAGCAACCUUGACCUGACUGACAUGUAUAAAACAUUGCACCCAAACAAUGUAAAAUCUAUGAUCUUUUCAAGUGUAUAUGGAACAUUCAUCAGCAUUAAGUAUAUGCUAAGUGAAGGACAAGUUGUAAAAUUCAAAAGUAUCAAAUUCAUAGAGUAUUUAUUGCUCUGACCACGGUGGAAUUCAGUUAGAAAUAAUAAUAAAAAAGGAUAACUGAAAAUAACCGAUGUGUUGAAAAUAAACAGUAAAUAAUCUUUGGGUCAAAAA
rnacentral:lncRNA from 1 species